rnacentral:misc_RNA from 1 species
GGAAGGAUCAUUAACACUAAUCCAACACAACUCAACCAAGCCUUCAGUUGCAGCAGCAGCGCUUGCCUCGUGCAGUGCCGCUGGUGCAGCCCACACAAACCUAAUCACGCAAAGGAGCCUAACUAAGCUCAACCACAAAACCAAAUUCUCAACGAUGGAUAUCUUGGUUCCCAUAACGAUGAAGAACGCAGCGAAGUGCGAUAAGCAAUGCGAAUUGCAGAACCGUGAGUCAUCAGAUUUUUGAACGCAACUGGCGCCGGCUGGCUCUCCAGCCGGCAUGCUUGUUUCAGUGUCUCUUUACCUCAUCACCCAGAUCAUAAUGCGAGAGAUGCCCUUCUCUUGCCAAGCGCGAAAGCACUCUGCGCUCUGCGAGCGGCUUCGACUCGUUCGAGGGCCGCACUCAAUGCAGCGGUCACAUUGCUCACAAUGUGAACUCAUUGAGAGCUGAGGCAGUGCAGCGUCAGCUGCCAGUGCUUAGUCACACAAACUUUACUUGCAUCUGAAAUCAAGCAGGAUCACCCGCUGAACUUAAGCAUAUCAAUAAGCGGAGGAGAAGAAAUUAACUAAGAUUGCCCUAGUAGCGGCGAGCGAAGCGGCAAGAGCCCAAACUGGAAAUCUUUCGCACCCCGUGCGCACGAAUUGUAAUCUAAAGGAUGUCCGCUCAACGGGAGGUGGCGCAGAAGUGCCUUCGAACGGGCCGCCAGAGAGGGUGCCAGCCCCGUAUGUGGUGCCACCGCCUAACGAGUGGGUGUUCAACGAGUCGGGUUGUUUUGUAUUGCAGCCCUAAGUGGGAGAUAGACUUCUUCUAAGGCUAAAUAUAUGGGAAACCGAUAGCGAACAAGUACUGCGAAGGAAAGAUGAAAAGGACUUUGAAAAGAGAGUCAAAGAGUGCUUGAAAUUGUCGGGAGGGAAGCGGAUGGGGGCCGGCGAUGUGUCUCGGUCGGAUGUGGAACGGUUUGUGCCGGUCCGCCAAUCGACUCGAGACAUUGACCGACGCGGAUUGUGAUGGUGGCCCAAGCCUGGGUUGUUGAAAUGCUCGCGGAGACGUCAUCACCACGAUUGUGGAUGGCAGUGCGCGCCAUUUCGGCGUGCUUCGGCACUUGCGUGCUCCUGGCGUCGGCCUGUGGGCUCCCCAUUCGACCCGUCUUGAAACACGGACCAAGGAGUCUGACAUGUGUGCGAGUCAACGGGCGAGUAAACCCGUAAGGCGCAAGGAAGCUGAUUGGUGGGAUCCUCUUGUGGGUUGCACCGCCGACCGACCCUGAUCUUUUGUGAAGGGUUCGAGUGAGAGCAUACCUGUCGGGACCCGAAAGAUGGUGAACUAUGCCUGAGCGGGGCGAAGCCAGAGGAAACUCUGGUGGAGGCCCGCAGCGAUACUGACGUGCAAAUCGUUCGUCUGACUUGGGUAUAGGGGCGAAAGACUAAUCGAACCGUCUAGUAGCUGGUUCCCUC